rnacentral:rRNA from 1 species
CAGCAGCCGCGGGAAUACCGAGGGUGCAAGCGUUAAUCGGAAUUACUGGGCGUAAAGCGCGCGUAGGUGGUUUGUUAAGUUGGAUGUGAAAUCCCCGGGCUCAACCUGGGAACUGCAUCCAAAACUGGCAAGCUAGAGUAUGGUAGAGGGUGGUGGAAUUUCCUGUGUAGCGGUGAAAUGCGUAGAUAUAGGAAGGAACACCAGUGGCGAAGGCGACCACCUGGACUGAUACUGACACUGAGGUGCGAAAGCGUGGGGAGCAAACAGGAUUAGAUACCCCUGUAGUCCCUGUCUCUUAUAC